GCGAACGUAGCUCAGUCGGUAGAGCCCCGGAUUGUGAUUCCGGUUGUCGCGGGUUCAAGUCCCGUCGUUCGCCCCA
rnacentral:tRNA from 1 species